AAAAUCCAAGUAAGAAGUUUUAUCAAAUCAAAAACUAAUAAAAAUGCCAGAGAUCUGGGUAAGGGGGUUGGUUAUGAAAUGGGAAGGUUUUAUGCAUCCAAAACAUCCUUAGUACUCUAAGGGAACCCUUUUUGCAAAUAUAUGUUGUAGGUUUGUACUUGUGAAAAUAUUUGCAAAAGAUUGGAGGGAUGAGAAGAGAAUAGAUUAUAUUUACAAAUUUUGUUGUUUGAAUGGAUGAAC
rnacentral:lncRNA from 1 species